UACGGAGGGUGCAAGCGUUGUUCGGAAUCACUGGGCGUAAAGGGCGUGUAGGCGGUCCGCUAAGUCUGAUGUGAAAGCCCGAGGCUUACCCUCGGAAGUGCAUUGGAGACUGGCGGACUAGAGUCCCGGAGAGGAAGGUGGGAUUCCUGGUGUAGCGGUGAAAUGCGUAGAUAUCAGGAGGAACACCGGUGGCGAAGGCGGCCUUCUGGACGGUGACUGACGCUGAGACGCGAAAGCGUGGGGAGCAAACAGG
rnacentral:rRNA from 1 species